rnacentral:rRNA from 1 species
CUCCGGUUGAUCCUGCCGGACCCGACUGCUAUCGAAGUGGGGCUAAGCCAUGCUAGUUGAACGCCCCUCAACCAUGUGAGGGACGUAGCACACGGCUCAGUAACACGUUGUCAACCUACCCUGAAGAUGCGGAUAACCCCGGGAAACUGGGACUAAACCGCGAUAGAUCAAGAUUCCUGGAACGGGUCAUGAUCCAAAGGAAAGACGGGCAUGUCUGUCUGUUUGCUUCAGGAUGGGACUGCGACCGAUCAGGUUGUUGGUGGAGUAAAAGCCCACCAAGCCAGUAACCGGUACGGGCUUUGAGAGAAGGAGCCCGGAGAUGGACACUGAGACAAGGGUCCAGGUCCUACGGGGCGCAGCAGGCGCGAAAACUUCGCAAUGCACGAAAGUGCGACGAGGCUACUUCGAGUGCCAUCCGCUGAGGAUGGCUUUUGCCAAGUCUAAAUAGCUUGGAGAAUAAGGGGAGUGAAUAAGGGGAGGGCAAGUCUGGUGUCAGCCGCCGCGGUAAUACCAGCUCCUCGAGUGGUUGGGACGAUUAUUGGGCCUAAAGCAUCCGUAGCCUGCUCCGUAGGUCUUCUGUUAAAUUCAACGGCUCAACCGUUGAGCUGCAGGAGAUACCACGAGGCUAGGAGGCGGGAGAGGUAGACGGUACUCCAUGUGUAGGGGUAAAAUCCUCUGAUCCAUGGAAGACCACCAGUGGCGAAGGCGGUCUACCAGAACGCGCUCGACGGUGAGGGAUGAAAGCUGGGGGAGCGAACCGGAUUAGAUACCCGGGUAGUCCCAGCUGUAAACGAUGCUAGCUAGGUGAUAGAGUGGCUUCGUGCCAUUCUAGUGCUGCAGGGAAGCCGUUAAGCUAGCCGCCUGGGGAGUACGGUCGCAAGGCUGAAACUUAAAGGAAUUGGCGGGGGAGCACCACAAGGGGUGAAGCCUGCGGUUCAAUUGGAGUCAACGCCGGGAACCUUACCGGGAGCGACAGCAGGGUGAAGGUCAAGCUGAAGACUUUACCUGACGAGCUGAGAGGAGGUGCAUGGCCGUCGUCAGCUCGUGCCGUGAGGUGUCCUGUUAAGUCAGGCAACGAGCGAGACCCCUGCCGUUAAUUGCUACCAUUAUCCGCAAGGAUGGUGGAGCUAGUUGACGGGACUGCCGCCGCUAAGGCGGAGGAAGGAAGGGGCAACGGCAGGUCAGUAUGCCCCGAAACUCCUGGGCCACACGCGGGCUGCAAUGGUAGAGACAAUGGGUUCCUACCUCGAAAGGGGGAGGCAAUCCCCAAACUCUACCCCAGUUGUGACUGAGGGCUGCAACCCGCCCUCACGAAUCUGGAAUCCCUAGUAAUCGCAUGUCAUCACCGUGCGGUGAAUACGUCCCUGCUCCUUGCACACACCGCCCGUCGCUUCACCCGAGUUGGGUUUGGGCGAGGUGGCGCCUAGUUGACGUCAUCGAACCUGAGCUCGGCAAGGGGGGAGAAGUCGUAACAAGGUGGCCGUAGGGGAACCUGCGGCCGGAUCACCUCC